CCUACGGGAGACAGCAGUAGGGAAUAUUGCACAAUGAGGGAAACCCUGAUGCAGCGACGCCGCGUGGAGGAUGAAGGUUUUCGGAUUGUAAAGUCCUGUUGUUAGGGAAGAUAAUGACGGUAUCUAACGAAUAAGCACCGGCUAACUCCGUGCCAGCAACCGCGGUAAUACGGAGGGUGCAAGCGUUAAUCGGAAUUACUGGGGGUAAAGGGCGCGGAGGCGGGAUUGCAAGUCAGGUGUGAAAUCCCAUGGCUUAACCCUAGGACUGCAUUUGAAACUGUCCUUCUAGAGUAUGGGAGAGGUAGGUGGAAUUCCUGGUGUAGCGGUAAAAUGCGUAGAUAUAAAGAGGAACACUCAUGGCGAAGGCGACCUGCUAGAACAUAACUGACGCUGAUGCGCGAAAGCGUGGGGAGCAAACAGGAUUAGAUACCCGAGUAGUC
rnacentral:rRNA from 1 species